UUAAGCGACUAAGCGUACACGGUGGAUGCCCUGGCAGUCAGAGGCGAUGAAGGGCGUGCUAAUCUGCGAUAAGCGCCGGUAAGGUGAUAUGAACCGUUAUAACCGGCGAUACCCGAAUGGGGAAACCCAGUGUGAUUCGUCACACUAUCAUUAACUGAAUCCAUAGGUUAAUGAGGCGAACCGGGGGAACUGAAACAUCUAAGUACCCCGAGGAAAAGAAAUCAACCGAGAUUCCCCCAGUAGCGGCGAGCGAACGGGGAGGAGCCCAGAGCCUGAAUCAGCAUGUGUGUUAGUGGAAGCGUCUGGAAAGGCGCGCGAUACAGGGUGACAGCCCCGUACACAAAAGCGCAUGUGCUGUGAGCUCGAUGAGUAGGGCGGGACACGUGGUAUCCUGUCUGAAUAUGGGGGGACCAUCCUCCAAGGCUAAAUACUCCUGACUGACCGAUAGUGAACCAGUACCGUGAGGGAAAGGCGAAAAGAACCCCGGCGAGGGGAGUGAAAAAGAACCUGAAACCGUGUACGUACAAGCAGUGGGAGCACAGGUUUACCUGUGUGACUGCGUACCUUUUGUAUAAUGGGUCAGCGACUUAUAUUCUGUAGCAAGGUUAACCGAAUAGGGGAGCCGGAGGGAAACCGAGUCUUAACCGGGCGUUAAGUUGCAGGGUAUAGACCCGAAACCCGGUGAUCUAGCCAUGGGCAGGUUGAAGGUUGGGUAACACUAACUGGAGGACCGAACCGACUAAUGUUGAAAAAUUAGCGGAUGACCUGUGGCUGGGGGUGAAAGGCCAAUCAAACCGGGAGAUAGCUGGUUCUCCCCGAAAGCUAUUUAGGUAGCGCCUCGUGAAUUCAUCUCCGGGGGUAGAGCACUGUUUCGGCUAGGGGGCCAUCCCGGCUUACCAACCCGAUGCAAACUGCGAAUACCGGAGAAUGUUAUCACGGGAGACACACGGCGGGUGCUAACGUCCGUCGUGAAGAGGGAAACAACCCAGACCGCCAGCUAAGGUCCCAAAGUCAUGGUUAAGUGGGAAACGAUGUGGGAAGGCCCAGACAGCCAGGAUGUUGGCUUAGAAGCAGCCAUCAUUUAAAGAAAGCGUAAUAGCUCACUGGUCGAGUCGGCCUGCGCGGAAGAUGUAACGGGGCUAAACCAUGCACCGAAGCUGCGGCAGCGACGCUUAUGCGUUGUUGGGUAGGGGAGCGUUCUGUAAGCCUGUGAAGGUGUGUCGUGAGGCAUGCUGGAGGUAUCAGAAGUGCGAAUGCUGACAUAAGUAACGAUAAAGCGGGUGAAAAGCCCGCUCGCCGGAAGACCAAGGGUUCCUGUCCAACGUUAAUCGGGGCAGGGUGAGUCGACCCCUAAGGCGAGGCCGAAAGGCGUAGUCGAUGGGAAACGGGUUAAUAUUCCCGUACUUGGUGUUACUGCGAAGGGGGGACGGAGAAGGCUAUGUUGGCCGGGCGACGGUUGUCCCGGUUUAAGCGUGUAGGUGUGUGUUCUAGGUAAAUCCGGUUCACUUUAACACUGAGGCGUGAUGACGAGGCACUACGGUGCUGAAGUAACAAAUGCCCUGCUUCCAGGAAAAGCCUCUAAGCAUCAGGUAACAUCAAAUCGUACCCCAAACCGACACAGGUGGUCAGGUAGAGAAUACCAAGGCGCUUGAGAGAACUCGGGUGAAGGAACUAGGCAAAAUGGUGCCGUAACUUCGGGAGAAGGCACGCUGACACGUAGGUGAAGUGAUUUACUCAUGGAGCUGAAGUCAGUCGAAGAUACCAGCUGGCUGCAACUGUUUAUUAAAAACACAGCACUGUGCAAACACGAAAGUGGACGUAUACGGUGUGACGCCUGCCCGGUGCCGGAAGGUUAAUUGAUGGGGUCAGCGCAAGCGAAGCUCCUGAUCGAAGCCCCGGUAAACGGCGGCCGUAACUAUAACGGUCCUAAGGUAGCGAAAUUCCUUGUCGGGUAAGUUCCGACCUGCACGAAUGGCGUAAUGAUGGCCAGGCUGUCUCCACCCGAGACUCAGUGAAAUUGAACUCGCUGUGAAGAUGCAGUGUACCCGCGGCAAGACGGAAAGACCCCGUGAACCUUUACUAUAGCUUGACACUGAACAUUGAGCCUUGAUGUGUAGGAUAGGUGGGAGGCUUUGAAGCGUGGACGCCAGUCUGCGUGGAGCCGACCUUGAAAUACCACCCUUUAAUGUUUGAUGUUCUAACGUGGACCCGUGAUCCGGGUUGCGGACAGUGUCUGGUGGGUAGUUUGACUGGGGCGGUCUCCUCCUAAAGAGUAACGGAGGAGCACGAAGGUUGGCUAAUCCUGGUCGGACAUCAGGAGGUUAGUGCAAUGGCAUAAGCCAGCUUGACUGCGAGCGUGACGGCGCGAGCAGGUGCGAAAGCAGGUCAUAGUGAUCCGGUGGUUCUGAAUGGAAGGGCCAUCGCUCAACGGAUAAAAGGUACUCCGGGGAUAACAGGCUGAUACCGCCCAAGAGUUCAUAUCGACGGCGGUGUUUGGCACCUCGAUGUCGGCUCAUCACAUCCUGGGGCUGAAGUAGGUCCCAAGGGUAUGGCUGUUCGCCAUUUAAAGUGGUACGCGAGCUGGGUUUAGAACGUCGUGAGACAGUUCGGUCCCUAUCUGCCGUGGGCGCUGGAGAACUGAGGGGGGCUGCUCCUAGUACGAGAGGACCGGAGUGGACGCAUCACUGGUGUUCGGGUUGUCAUGCCAAUGGCACUGCCCGGUAGCUAAAUGCGGAAGAGAUAAGUGCUGAAAGCAUCUAAGCACGAAACUUGCCCCGAGAUGAGUUCUCCCUGAGACUUAGAGUCUCCUGAAGGAACGUUGAAGACGACGACGUUGAUAGGCCGGGUGUGUAAGCGCAGCGAUGCGUUGAGCUAACCGGUACUAAUGAACCGUGAGGCUUAACCUU
rnacentral:rRNA from 1 species